rnacentral:rRNA from 1 species
CCUACGGGAGGCAGCAGUGAGGAAUAUUGGUCAAUGGGCGCGAGCCUGAACCAGCCAAGUAGCGUGAAGGAUGACUGCCCUACGGGUUGUAAACUUCUGUUAUAAAGGAAUAAAGUGAGGCACGUGUGCCUUUUUGUAUGUACUUUAUGAAUAAGGAUCGGCUAACUCCGUGCCAGCAGCCGCGGUAAUACGGAGGAUCCGAGCGUUAUCCGGCUUUAUUGGGUUUAAAGGGAGCGUAGAGGGGUUGUUAAGUCCGUUGUGAAAGUUUGCGGCUCAACCGUAAAAUGGCAAUUGAUACUGGCAGUCUUGAUUACAGUUGAGGUAGGCGGAAUUCGUGGUGUAGCGGUGACAUGCUUAGAUAUCACGCAGAACUCCGAUUGCGAAGGCAGCUUACUAAACUGCCCCUGACAUUGCUGCUCGAACGUGUGGGUAUCAAACAGGAUUAGAUACCCGUGUCGUC